rnacentral:rRNA from 1 species
GACGAACGCUGGCGGCGUGCCUAAUACAUGCAAGUAGAACGCUGAAGAGAGGAGCUUGCUCUUCUUGGAUGAGUUGCGAACGGGUGAGUAACGCGUAGGUAACCUGCCUUGUAGCGGGGGAUAACUAUUGGAAACGAUAGCUAAUACCGCAUAACAAUGGAUGACACAUGUCAUUUAUUUGAAAGGGGCAAUUGCUCCACUACAAGAUGGACCUGCGUUGUAUUAGCUAGUAGGUGAGGUAACGGCUCACCUAGGCGACGAUACAUAGCCGACCUGAGAGGGUGAUCGGCCACACUGGGACUGAGACACGGCCCAGACUCCUACGGGAGGCAGCAGUAGGGAAUCUUCGGCAAUGGGGGCAACCCUGACCGAGCAACGCCGCGUGAGUGAAGAAGGUUUUCGGAUCGUAAAGCUCUGUUGUAAGUCAAGGACGAGUGUGAGAGUGGAAAGUUCACACUGUGACGGUAGCUUACCAGAAAGGGACGGCUAACUACGUGCCAGCAGCCGCGGUAAUACGUAGGUCCCGAGCGUUGUCCGGAUUUAUUGGGCGUAAAGCGAGCGCAGGCGGUUUGAUAAGUCUGAAGUUAAAGGCUGUGGCUCAACCAUAGUUCGCUUUGGAAACUGUCAAACUUGAGUGCAGAAGGGGAGAGUGGAAUUCCAUGUGUAGCGGUGAAAUGCGUAGAUAUAUGGAGGAACACCGGUGGCGAAAGCGGCUCUCUGGUCUGUAACUGACGCUGAGGCUCGAAAGCGUGGGGAGCGAACAGGAUUAGAUACCCUGGUAGUCCACGCCGUAAACGAUGAGUGCUAGGUGUUGGAUCCUUUCCGGGAUUCAGUGCCGCAGCUAACGCAUUAAGCACUCCGCCUGGGGAGUACGACCGCAAGGUUGAAACUCAAAGGAAUUGACGGGGGCCCGCACAAGCGGUGGAGCAUGUGGUUUAAUUCGAAGCAACGCGAAGAACCUUACCAGGUCUUGACAUCCCGAUGCUAUUUCUAGAGAUAGAAAGUUACUUCGGUACAUCGGUGACAGGUGGUGCAUGGUUGUCGUCAGCUCGUGUCGUGAGAUGUUGGGUUAAGUCCCGCAACGAGCGCAACCCCUAUUGUUAGUUGCCAUCAUUCAGUUGGGCACUCUAGCGAGACUGCCGGUAAUAAACCGGAGGAAGGUGGGGAUGACGUCAAAUCAUCAUGCCCCUUAUGACCUGGGCUACACACGUGCUACAAUGGUUGGUACAACGAGUUGCGAGUCGGUGACGGCAAGCUAAUCUCUUAAAGCCAAUCUCAGUUCGGAUUGUAGGCUGCAACUCGCCUACAUGAAGUCGGAAUCGCUAGUAAUCGCGGAUCAGCACGCCGCGGUGAAUACGUUCCCGGGCCU